UCCCUCGUCCUCGGGACGUUAAGCUGCUCUGGUCGAGGAUAAACGACCCCUCUGACCGAGGUCAAACCCGUCACACUGUGUUACCUCUGUCUGAGGCACACGUUAAAGAUUGUUCCGCGUUGUGAGUCUAACACCAGUUGUAUAAACUUUUUACAACCGGUAGCGAUGGAUCCCUUGGCACGUCAUUCGAUGAAGACCGUUGCAAAUUGCGAUAAAGUGAUGUGAUGCGCAAGUCCACCACUUAUACGUGAAUCAUCGAGUUGUUGAACGCAUUGCACCGCGCCCUAAUCCGGCUGCGGUAUGCCCCUUUGAGCGUCAUUGUAUUCCUUCGGGAGUCCUUUUUACAAAAGGACCCGAGUUCGGAGUCCUCGGUCCUCUGGAUCGUGUUCUCUUAGAUGCGUCGCACCGAUCGCCUGAUGGGUCUCUAAUGCCUAAGCGUGGAGUUCCUUCAGAGUCCGAGACGUGCUUGACCGGGUGUUGAGCUCGCGUCACCAAGUCUGCCUCACAAGCAGUACUACAACGCAUGACCUCAUUGGGGUAGGACAACCCGCUAGACUUAAGCAUAUUAAUCAG
rnacentral:rRNA from 1 species